GGGAAAGAACCACCAGGGAUGCCUCAGUACGGCGAGUGAAGCGGCAAUAGCUCAAAUUUGAAAUCUGGCUCUUUCAGGGUCCGAGUUGUAAUUUGCAGAGGGCGCUUUGGCGUCGGCAGCAGCCUAAGUUCCUUGGAACAGGUCAUCAUAGAGGGUGAGAAUCCCGUAUGUGGCGGCUUGCCUUCGCCGUGUAAAGCCCCUUCGACGAGUCGAGUUGUUUGGGAAUGCAGCUCUAAAUGGGAGGUAAAUUUCUUCUAAAGCUAAAUAUUGGCCAGAGACCGAUAGCGCACAAGUAGAGUGAUCGAAAGAUGAAAAGCACUUUGGAAAGAGAGUCAAAAAGCACGUGAAAUUGUUGAAAGGGAAGCGCUUGCAGCCAGACGUGCCCGUAGUUGCUCAUCUGGGGAUUUCCCCAGUGCACUCUUCUAUAGGCAGGCCAGCAUCAGUCCGGGCGGUUGGAGAAAGACCUGUGUCAUGUAGCUGUUUUCGGGCAGUGUUAUAGGGCAGGUGGAAUGCAACCAGCCUGGACUGAGGUCCGCGCAUCUGCUAGGAUGCUGGCGUAAUGGCUGUAAGCGGCCCGUCUUGAAACACGGACCAAGGAGUCUAACAUCUAUGCGAGUGUUUGGGUGUCAAGCCCGAGCGCGUAAUGAAAGUGAACGGAGGUGGGAACCUUAGGGUGCACCAUCGACCGAUCCUGAUGUCUUCGGAUGGAUUUGAGUAAGAGCAUAGCUGUUGGGACCCGAAAGAUGGUGAACUAUGCCUGAAUAGGGUGAAGCCAGAGGAAACUCUGGUGGAGGCUCGCAGCGGUUCUGACGUGCAAAUCGAUCGUCAAA
rnacentral:rRNA from 1 species